rnacentral:rRNA from 1 species
GACGAACGCUGGCGGCGUGCUUAAUACAUGCAAGUCGAACGGAAAGGCCCUGCUUUUGUGGGGUGCUCGAGUGGCGAACGGGUGAGUAACACGUGAGUAACCUGCCCUUGACUUUGGGAUAACUUCAGGAAACUGGGGCUAAUACCGGAUAGGAGCUCCUGCUGCAUGGUGGGGGUUGGAAGGUUUCGGCGGUUGGGGAUGGACUCGCGGCUUAUCAGCUUGUUGGUGGGGUAGUGGCUUACCAAGGCUUUGACGGGUAGCCGGCCUGAGAGGGUGACCGGCCACAUUGGGACUGAGAUACGGCCCAGACUCCUACGGGAGGCAGCAGUGGGGAAUAUUGCACAAUGGGCGGAAGCCUGAUGCAGCAACGCCGCGUGCGGGAUGACGGCCUUCGGGUUGUAAACCGCUUUCGCCUGUGACGAAGCGUGAGUGACGGUAAUGGGUAAAGAAGCACCGGCUAACUACGUG